rnacentral:rRNA from 1 species
CAGCCGCCGCGGGAAUACAGAGGGUGCGAGCGUUAAUCGGAUUUACUGGGCGUAAAGCGUGCGUAGGCGGCUUUUUAAGUCGGAUGUGAAAUCCCUGAGCUUAACUUAGGAAUUGCAUUCGAUACUGGGAAGCUAGAGUAUGGGAGAGGAUGGUAGAAUUCCAGGUGUAGCGGUGAAAUGCGUAGAGAUCUGGAGGAAUACCGAUGGCGAAGGCAGCCAUCUGGCCUAAUACUGACGCUGAGGUACGAAAACAUGGGGAGCAAACAGGAUUAGAUACCCGAGUAGUCCCUGUCUCUUAUAC